UACAGAGGUCUCGAGCGUUGUUCGGAUUCAUUGGGCGUAAAGGGCGCGUAGGCGGCGGGGUAAGUCUGGUGUGAAAUCUCAGAGCUCAACUCCGAAAUUGCACUGGAUACUGCUCUGCUAGAGGGCUGGAGAGGAGAUCGGAAUUCACGGUGUAGCAGUGAAAUGCGUAGAUAUCGAUGAGGAAGACCAGUGGCGAAGGCGGAUCUCUGGACAGCUCCUGACGCUGAGGCGCGAAGGCUAGGGGAGCAAACGGG
rnacentral:rRNA from 1 species